UACGGGGGGGGCAAGCGUUGUUCGGAAUUACUGGGCGUAAAGGGCUCGUAGGCGGCCAACUAAGUCGGACGUGAAAUCCCUCGGCUUAACCGGGGAACUGCGUCCGAUACUGGAUGGCUUGAGUUUGGGAGAGGGAUGCGGAAUUCCAGGUGUAGCGGUGAAAUGCGUAGAUAUCUGGAGGAACACCGGUGGCGAAGGCGGCAUCCUGGACUGGUCCUGACACUCAGGAGCGAAAGCGUGGGGAGCGAUCCGG
rnacentral:rRNA from 1 species